rnacentral:rRNA from 1 species
GCAGUCGCCACGGUAAUACGAAGGGGGCUAGCGUUGUUCGGAAUUACUGGGCGUAAAGCGCACGUAGGCGGAUCGAUCAGUCAGGGGUGAAAUCCCAGGGCUCAACCCUGGAACUGCCUUUGAUACUGUCGAUCUGGAGUAUGGAAGAGGUGAGUGGAAUUCCGAGUGUAGAGGUGAAAUUCGUAGAUAUUCGGAGGAACACCAGUGGCGAAGGCGGCUCACUGGUCCAUUACUGACGCUGAGGUGCGAAAGCGUGGGGAGCAAACAGGAUUAGAUACCCGCGUAGUCCCUGUCUCUUAUAC